AGUGAACGCUGGCGGUAGGCCUAACACAUGCAAGUCGAACGGCAGCACAGUAAGAGCUUGCUCUUACGGGUGGCGAGUGGCGGACGGGUGAGGAAUACAUCGGAAUCUACUUUUUCGUGGGGGAUAACGUAGGGAAACUUACGCUAAUACCGCAUACGACCUACGGGUGAAAGCAGGGGAUCUUCGGACCUUGCGCGAUUGAAUGAGCCGAUGUCGGAUUAGCUAGUUGGCGGGGUAAAGGCCCACCAAGGCGACGAUCCGUAGCGGGACUGAGUGGACGAUCAGCCGCAUAGGAACUGGGACGCGGGCCAGACUCCGACGGGAGGCAGCAGUGGGAAAUAUUGGACAAGGGGCGCAAGCCUGAACCAGCCAUACCGCGUGGGUGAAGAAGGCCUUCGGGUUGUAAAGCCCUUUUGUUGGGAAAGAAAAGCAGCAGGUUAAUACCCCGCUGUUCGGACGGUACCCAAAGAAUAAGCACCGGCUAACUUCGU
rnacentral:rRNA from 1 species